rnacentral:rRNA from 1 species
AUAUGUCUGUGAACCACACUUGUUGCUUCGGGGGCGACCCUGCCGGCGAACUCGUCGCCGGGCGCCCCCGGAGGUCUUCUAAACACUGCAUCUUUGCGUCGGAGUUCAAAACAAAUCGAACAAAACUUUCAACAACGGAUCUCUUGGUUCUGGCAUCGAUGAAGAACGCAGCGAAAUGCGAUAAGUAAUGUGAAUUGCAGAAUUCAGUGAAUCAUCGAAUCUUUGAACGCACAUUGCGCCCUUUGGUAUUCCGAAGGGCAUGCCUGUUCGAGCGUCAUUUCACCACUCAGCCUGGCUUGGUAUUGGGCGUCGCGGUGUUUCGCGCGCCUUAAAGUCUUCCGGCUGAGCUGUCCGUCUCCUAGCGUUGUGGAUUCUUCAAUUCGCUUCGGAGUGCGGGCGGCCGCGGCCGUUAAAUCUUUAUGNAAGGUGACCUCGGAUCAGGAGGGAUACCCGCUGACUUAAGCA